AAUAAAUGAAUCUAGAAAAAAAAGAGUAACCUAAUCAACCCCAGUCAUUUCAACGCCGGCUGUACUCCAUAAUGUUAUACGAGUCGUCAUUUCAAACUUACCCAACCGUUCAGUCAAUAGCUCUGCCCAAAAAAUUAAACAUUCAUUGCUAUCAUCAAAACCCAUUUCCUCUCCAGCGUAUUCUAGUCUGGACUUCUUGCCCAGCGCCCUUCCAAAAGCAAGUCUAGCAGAUUCGGGUCUCUUACUCCGCUCUCUAAGGCAUCUUUUGCAAUCUGAUGGGCACGCAUGUUUUCUAUUCUAGGAAUAUGCUUGAACUCUAUUGUUAGAUAAAGGAAAUACAUGUUUUGAAUAUCUCAAAUGAUUGCUCCUAUGGCUGAUUUGUCUGUUUCUGUUGUUUGACACUUCCUGAUUACUGUUCGUGAAUCCCCUUUAAUUUGUGCUUCUCAAAAACCCAUUAAGAUCCCUAACUUAAUUGCUUCCAACCCUGCAUAUGUUUCUACCGCGAACGAAGAUGGAACACUAUUGUGAAGGACCGUCUUCAAUGCCAGAAUUUCAUUUCUACGACCCCAAACCACCACCCCAGAGACAGAUCUGAAAAUUCUCUUGUUGAACGCAACUUCAAAGUGUAUAUUAACCAUUGGUAAGAUUUCCAUACUUCUGUGCCUUCGAGCCAGAUCUGGUGAUUUCUGCUUUGUUCUUGCCCCAUAUUGUUCAGCCUUGAAACUUAGAAUGUUUUGUUCAAGUUGUCUUCCUGUUAUGGAUAUCCGUUCGUGUACUAGUUGGUUUCUUGAGUACCAUAUUAGCCAUAAGGCAUAGCAAAAGAGUCGACUUUACUCUUCGGACCCUUGCAGGAAUACCCAGGGCAUUGUCUGAAUACGUGAGAGCAGUCUUCAUCCCUCGAACAACAACAAAGGCAACGAACGUUCGUGAGCACCCUUUUACGCCUAAGGUUUAUAAGCGUGGGCAGAGAAUUCCAGGAGAUACGCCAAACUGUAAUUGCGAUUUUUGUAUGAAGUUGUAGGCUCCAGAGUUUGCUGUAAAAUUUUUUUGAUUCAGUCUGUAAUAUAAUACUACUAGGAUCUAGUAAAGAAUCUUGUAAUAGUUUAUAGGUACUCUGUAUAGAGAAUUCCCCAGAUUGUUCUCCCUUCCAAACUUGAAAAUUAGCAUGGCUUGUUUCUGCAAGGGGGAUCUGCAAUAUUCUUUGAGCAACCUCGUCUUGAAAGUUCCCACUCUCCAGUAUAGCCCACUUUGAAGAAGUCCUUUCGAAGCUCAGAUGCUCUUUCAGGUGAGGGAAGGUAGAUUUCCUAACCGAGCCUCCAGAAAAUUUGAUUGCGGAUAAUAUUUUGCCUUCAAAACUUUCACUAAUAAUAAGUUAGGGUAAUUAAUCAA